CCUACGGGUGGCAGCAGUGAGGAAUAUUGGUCAAUGGGCGAGAGCCUGAACCGGCCAAGUCGCGUGAAGGAUGAUGGCCCUACGGGUUGUAAACUUCUUUUGUCAGGGAGCAAUGUCGUCCACGUGUGGUCUUAGCGAGAGUACCUGAAGAAAAAGCAUCGGCUAACUCCGUGCCAGCAGCCGCGGUAAUACGGAGGAUGCGAGCGUUAUCCGGAUUGAUUGGGUUUAAAGGGUGCGUAGGCGGAAUAUCAAGUCAGCGGUAAAAAUUCGGGGCUCAACCCCGUCGUGCCGUUGAAACUGAUGGUCUUGAGUGGGCGAGAAGUAGGCGGAAUGCGUGGUGUAGCGGUGAAAUGCAUAGAUAUCACGCAGAACUCCGAUUGCGAAGGCAGCAUGCCGGCGCCCAACUGACGCUGAAGCACGAAAGCGUGGGUAUCGAACAGGAUUAGAUACCCGGGUAGUC
rnacentral:rRNA from 1 species